AUUGAACGCUGGCGGCAGGCCUAACACAUGCAAGUCGAACGAGUGGCGGACGGGUGAGUAAUGUCUGGGAAACUGCCUGAUGGAGGGGGAUAACUACUGGAAACUGUAGCUAAUACCGCAUACCAUCGGAUGUGCCCAAAUGGGAUUAGCUAGUUGGUGGGGUAAUGGCUCACCAAGGCGACGAUCCCUAGCUGGUCUGAGAGGAUGACCAGCCACACCGGAACUGAGACACGGUCCAGACUCCGACGGGAGGCAGCAGUGGGGAAUAUUGCACAAUGGGGGCAAGCCUGAUGCAGCCAUGCCGCGUGAAUGAAGAAGGCCUUCGGGUUGUAAAGUUCUUUCGGCGGGGAGGCGUUACCCGCAGAAGAAGCACCGGCUAACUCCGUGCCAGCAGCCGCGGUAAUAC
rnacentral:rRNA from 1 species